rnacentral:ncRNA from 1 species
CGUAGAAAUCAAAGUCUUUGGGUUCUGGGGGGAGGUAGUGUCGCAAGGCUGAAACUUAAAGGAAUUGACGGAAGGGCACACCAGGUGUAAACUUUUACAGUUUUGCCGCAGUAACUCUGCACCGACAGCAGCCCGAAGGGUGAGGUGGUUCAAGCCCGAGAGCGAGUAACUGUCGCUCUCGAAUCUAAUUGCUAGUCCAGAAAUGGGCGAGACCUUCAAAUUGUCGGGGAACUCCUAAAGCUUCAGACACCAAGCCGCAUUCCGAAAGGGUGCGGUGGCCAGGGUAAUGACCUCGGGUAUGGUAAAAGCUCUGAAGAUGCAACAAUGGACAAUCCGCAGCCAAGGCUCUAAGGGUGGAAACGCCUACGAGACAGGUUCAGAGACUAGAUGGAGGUCGGUCACUUAAAUGUAUAGUGGCUUAAGGUAUAGUCCGGCUGCAAGUGAAAGCUUGCGGAAUUGGGCACAUCCAAUUCCACAGUGAAUAGGGAGCCUGCGGCUUAAUUUGACUCAACACGGG